UACGUAGGGUGCAAGCGUUUGUCCGGGAUUAUUGGGCGUAAAGAGCUCGUAGGCGGUUUGUCGCGUCUGCCGUGAAAGUCCGGGGCUCAACUCCGGAUCUGCGGUGGGUACGGGCAGACUAGAGUGAUGUAGGGGAGACUGGAAUUCCUGGUGUAGCGGUGAAAUGCGCAGAUAUCAGGAGGAACACCGAUGGCGAAGGUAGGUCUCUGGGCAUUAACUGACGCUGAGGAGCGAAAGCAUGGGGAGCGAACAGG
rnacentral:rRNA from 1 species